ACAGCCAGGAUGUUGGCUUAGAAGCAGCCAUCAUUUAAAGAAAGCGUAAUAGCUCACUGGUCGAGUCGGCCUGCGCGGAAGAUGUAACGGGGCUAAACCAUGCACCGAAGCUGCGGCAGCGACGCUUAUGCGUUGUUGGGUAGGGGAGCGUUCUGUAAGCCUGUGAAGGUGUACUGUGAGGUAUGCUGGAGGUAUCAGAAGUGCGAAUGCUGACAUAAGUAACGAUAAAGCGGGUGAAAAGCCCGCUCGCCGGAAGACCAAGGGUUCCUGUCCAACGUUAAUCGGGGCAGGGUGAGUCGACCCCUAAGGCGAGGCCGAAAGGCGUAGUCGAUGGGAAACAGGUUAAUAUUCCUGUACUUGGUGUUACUGCGAAGGGGGGACGGAGAAGGCUAUGUUGGCCGGGCGACGGUUGUCCCGGUUUAAGCGUGUAGGCUGGUUUUCCAGGCAAAUCCGGAAAAUCAAGGCUGAGGCGUGAUGACGAGGCACUACGGUGCUGAAGCAACAAAUGCCCUGCUUCCAGGAAAAGCCUCUAAGCAUCAGGUAACAUCAAAUCGUACCCCAAACCGACACAGGUGGUCAGGUAGAGAAUACCAAGGCGCUUGAGAGAACUCGGGUGAAGGAACUAGGCAAAAUGGUGCCGUAACUUCGGGAGAAGGCACGCUGAUAUGUAGGUGAAGUCCCUCGCGGAUGGAGCUGAAAUCAGUCGAAGAUACCAGCUGGCUGCAACUGUUUAUUAAAAACACAGCACUGUGCAAACACGAAAGUGGACGUAUACGGUGUGACGCCUGCCCGGUGCCGGAAGGUUAAUUGAUGGGGUUAGCGCAAGCGAAGCUCUUGAUCGAAGCCCCGGUAAACGGCGGCCGUAACUAUAACGGUCCUAAGGUAGCGAAAUUCCUUGUCGGGUAAGUUCCGACCUGCACGAAUGGCGUAAUGAUGGCCAGGCUGUCUCCACCCGAGACUCAGUGAAAUUGAACUCGCUGUGAAGAUGCAGUGUACCCGCGGCAAGACGGAAAGACCCCGUGAACCUUUACUAUAGCUUGACACUGAACAUUGAGCCUUGAUGUGUAGGAUAGGUGGGAGGCUUUGAAGUGUGGACGCCAGUCUGCAUGGAGCCGACCUUGAAAUACCACCCUUUAAUGUUUGAUGUUCUAACGUGGACCCGUAAUCCGGGUUGCGGACAGUGUCUGGUGGGUAGUUUGACUGGGGCGGUCUCCUCCUAAAGAGUAACGGAGGAGCACGAAGGUUGGCUAAUCCUGGUCGGACAUCAGGAGG
rnacentral:rRNA from 1 species